AUGAACGCUAGCUACAGGCUUAACACAUGCAAGUCGAGGGGCAUCAGGAAGAAAGCUUGCUUUCUUUGCUGGCGACCGGCGCACGGGUGAGUAACACGUAUCCAACCUGCCCUUUACUCGGGGAUAGCCUUUCGAAAGAAAGAUUAAUACCCGAUGGCAUAAUGAUUCCGCAUGGUUUCAUUAUUAAAGGAUUCCGGUAAAGGAUGGGGAUGCGUUCCAUUAGGUUGUUGGUGAGGUAACGGCUCACCAAGCCUUCGAUGGAUAGGGGUUCUGAGAGGAAGGUCCCCCACAUUGGAACUGAGACACGGUCCAAACUCCUACGGGAGGCAGCAGUGAGGAAUAUUGGUCAAUGGGCGCUAGCCUGAACCAGCCAAGUAGCGUGAAGGAUGAAGGCUCUAUGGGUCGUAAACUUCUUUUAUAUAAGAAUAAAGUGCAGUAUGUAUACUGUUUUGUAUGUAUUAUAUGAAUAAGGAUCGGCUAACUCCGUGCCAGCAGCCGCGGUAAUACGGAGGAUCCGAGCGUUAUCCGGAUUUAUUGGGUUUAAAGGGAGCGUAGGUGGACUGGUAAGUCAGUUGUGAAAGUUUGCGGCUCAACCGUAAAAUUGCAGUUGAUACUGUCAGUCUUGAGUACAGUAGAGGUGGGCGGAAUUCGUGGUGUAGCGGUGAAAUGCUUAGAUAUCACGAAGAACUCCGAUUGCGAAGGCAGCUCACUGGACUGCAACUGACACUGAUGCUCGAAAGUGUGGGUAUCAAACAGGAUUAGAUACCCUGGUAGUCCACGCAGUAAACGAUGAAUACUAACUGUUUGCGAUACAAUGUAAGCGGUACAGCGAAAGCGUUAAGUAUUCCACCUGGGGAGUACGCCGGCAACGGUGAAACUCAAAGGAAUUGACGGGGGCCCGCACAAGCGGAGGAACAUGUGGUUUAAUUCGAUGAUACGCGAGGAACCUUACCCGGGCUUAAAUUGCAGUGGAAUGAUGUGGAAACAUGUCAGUGAGCAAUCACCGCUGUGAAGGUGCUGCAUGGUUGUCGUCAGCUCGUGCCGUGAGGUGUCGGCUUAAGUGCCAUAACGAGCGCAACCCUUAUCUUCAGUUACUAACAGGUCAUGCUGAGGACUCUGGAGAGACUGCCGUCGUAAGAUGUGAGGAAGGUGGGGAUGACGUCAAAUCAGCACGGCCCUUACGUCCGGGGCUACACACGUGUUACAAUGGGGGGUACAGAAGGCAGCUAGCGGGUGACCGUAUGCUAAUCCCAAAAGCCUCUCUCAGUUCGGAUCGAAGUCUGCAACCCGACUUCGUGAAGCUGGAUUCGCUAGUAAUCGCGCAUCAGCCACGGCGCGGUGAAUACGUUCCCGGGCCUUGUACACACCGCCCGUCAAGCCAUGGGAGCCGGGGGUACCUGAAGUACGUAACCGCAAGGAUCGUCCUAGGGUAAAACUGGUGACUGGGGCU
rnacentral:rRNA from 1 species